rnacentral:rRNA from 1 species
CACGUAGGGGGCGAGCGUUGUCCGGAUUUAUUGGGCGUAAAGCGCUCGUAGGCGGCUCGGUAAGUCGGGUGUGAAAACUCUAGGCUCAACCUAGAGACGCCACCUGAUACUGCUGUGGCUAGAGUCCGGUAGGGGAGCAUGGAAUUCCUGGUGUAGCGGUGAAAUGCGCAGAUAUCAGGAGGAACACCAGUGGCGAAGGCGGUGCUCUGGGCCGGUACUGACGCUGAGACGCGAAAGCGUGGGGAGCAAACAGG